rfam:Bacillus sp. FJAT-25509 scaffold5, whole genome shotgun sequence.
AGGUGAUGUCUUCUAACCUUUAUCAACGAAGGCACUCGGUUAUGCUGUGGGUUGAAUAAACCUUAGACGCAAGUCGUCGAAAGUGUAGUGUGAGGACAGGUUAGAUGCCUA